AGAAAUUAAAUGAAAGAGUAAAUUGUUGUAGCUGCUGCUGCAACUGAAGUAUAACUUUAACAGGGUCGUAUUGACCAGGUCCGGGCGACUGUUUACCAAAAACACAGGUCUUUGCAAAGUCGUAAAACAAAGUAUGGGGGUUGACGCCUGCUUAGUGCCGAAAGGUCAAGGAACUUAAUGACUUGAUGACAGGGGAGCCGACGACUGAAGCCCCGGUGAACAGUGGUCGUAACUAUAAUAGUCCUAAGGUAGCGAAAUUCUUUGUCGAGUAAGUUCCAACCCGCACGAAAGGUGUAACGAUCUGGGCACUGUCUC
rfam:Vigna angularis cultivar Jingnong 6 scaffold547_23, whole genome shotgun sequence.